rnacentral:rRNA from 1 species
CCUACGGGUGGCUGCAGUGGGGAAUAUUGCACAAUGGGGGAAACCCUGAUGCAGCGACGCCGCGUGAGUGAAGAAGUAUUUCGGUAUGUAAAGCUCUAUCAGCAGGGAAGAAAAUGACGGUACCUGACUAAGAAGCACCGGCUAACUACGUGCCAGCAGCCGCGGUAAUACGUAGGGUGCAAGCGUUAUCCGGAUUUACUGGGUGUAAAGGGAGCGCAGGCGGAAGGGCAAGUCUGAUGUGAAAGCCCGGGGCUCAACCCCGGUACUGCAUUGGAAACUGGUAAGCUAGAGUGUCGGAGGGGUAAGUGGAAUUCCUAGUGUAGCGGUGAAAUGCGUAGAUAUUAGGAGGAACACCAGUGGCGAAGGCGGCUUACUGGACUGUAACUGACGUUGAGGCUCGAAAGCGUGGGGAGCAAACAGGAUUAGAUACCCGGGGAG